rnacentral:rRNA from 1 species
CGUGUAGGCGGUUUUUUAAGUCUGAUGUGAAAGCCCCGGGCUCAACCUGGGAAGUGCAUUGGAUACUGGGAGACUUGAAUACGGGAGAGGGUAGUGGAAUUCCUAGUGUAGGAGUGAAAUCCGUAGAUAUUAGGAGGAACACCGGUGGCGAAGGCGGCUACCUGGACCGAUAUUGACGCUGAGACGCGAAAGCGUGGGGAGCAAACA